AUUGAACGCUGGCGGCAUGCUUUACACAUGCAAGUCGAACGGCAGCGCGGGCUUCGGCCUGGCGGCGAGUGGCGAACGGGUGAGUAAUGCAUCGGAACGCGCCCAGUAGUGGGGGAUAGCCCGGCGAAAGCCGGAUUAAUACCGCAUACGACCUGAGGGUGAAAGCGGGGGACCGAAAGGCCUCGCGCUAUUGGAGCGGCCGAUGUCGGAUUAGCUAGUUGGUGGGGUAAAGGCUUACCAAGGCGACGAUCCGUAGCUGGUCUGAGAGGACGGCCAGCCACACUGGGACUGAGACACGGCCCAGACUCCUACGGGAGGCAGCAGUGGGGAAUUUUGGACAAUGGGGGCAACCCUGAUCCAGCCAUGCCGCGUGCGGGAAGAAGGCCUUCGGGUUGUAAACCGCUUUUGUUCGGGAAGAAAUCCUCUGGGCUAAUACCCCGGGGGGAUGACGGUACCGGAAGAAUAAGCACCGGCUAACUACGUG
rnacentral:rRNA from 1 species